rnacentral:misc_RNA from 1 species
AACCAUAGAAACCUGCGGAGUACCUGCGGAGGGAUCAUUACAGAGUUCAUGCCCUCACGGGUAGAUCUUCCACCCUUGAAUACUAUACCUUUGUUGCUUUGGCGGGCCGCUUUGGCUACUGGCUCUGGCUAGUAAGUGCCCGCCAAAGAACCCCAAAACUCUGAAUAUUAGUGUCGUCUGAGUACUAUAUAAUAGUUAAAACUUUCAGCAACGGAUCU